CUCCUGGGGAGAAGAAGUUGUUCUUGCCUUUGAGGAAGGCAGACUUGAAGAGGAAAGCCAUGAGGAGUCCUGAGGAGUCCCCUGGAAAGAAGAAGAGAGAAGACAAGGGGGAUACUCCCAGGAAGAAAAGGCAAUGAGACAAAACAUUCCCAACAAAAUACUUCCAGAUUUCAGCCCACAAAGGCUCCAAUCAACUGAAAGCCUCAGAAGACUCAUUCCAAACUGCGAGGGCAGAUGUGUUGCUGCCACCACUGCCAGCCAUGACUGCUGCACAACUGGAACCAAAGUUCAGCAUGACUAUGCAAAAGAGACCCAGAGCUGUGACUGACAACCUGGAGCUGCCUGCCGUGGAUAACCCUGCCAGGAAGCAGGAUGGAUUCUUAACCAAGCACAGAAAAGUGGAGGAAGACCCUGAGGAGCAAACCCAGGCCAUCACCAUUGGUAUCCAGGAGGGCUGGUGGGAGUAUUCCUGCAACCCAGGCGUGCUGUGUGAUGCACUGCAGAAACAUCCUCUCAGAUAAGUGACCAUUUCUGACUGUAGGCAGCUGCAACCAAAAGGAGUGUGUGUAUAAAAAGGAGUGUGUUUAUAAAAGAAAUGGACUGCAAUCUGGGCCUUAGGUUGUAUAUCAUUCCAAGGAAAUUACUGCAUUUAUGGGUUAAAAAUUAGAAUUUACUGGCUGUUUAUAAAAAAUUUGUCUGUUUAAUGAUGGCUUGUGGUAUGGGGUCUAUGAUAUUUGGGGGUGAGGGAGCAUGUGUCAAUGUUCUGUCUUAGGCCAGGUUGUGCACAGUGCAUUAGCUGCCUUCUAACUGCUUGCUUUUUCCUGAUAAUUUUCCUGCUUCCAGCCCUCACUGCACUCCCAGCUAUUGAGCAAGGAAAUCUGCUGAUGAAUUUCUCUUUGCUUGGGAGAAGUUGAAUGGUGCAAAGCAAUAUGAGCUGCCAGGGAUCUGCAGGGCAUGAGAAGAAUCCUUUUCCAGUGCCUUCUGUGCCACAUGAAGCCAAGACAAGA